rnacentral:miRNA from 1 species
UGCAUUUUUUGGUAAGACGAUGUUAACAAAAGUUGUUCGUCUUGAUGAGGGCUACAACUUUGCUUAAUAUCCUUUUAACAAAUUAUGCGUAUUUAACAAGAUAUUGCUGCGCAUGCGCAGAACGUAACUCCUUACGCUUGCAUUUUUUGGUAAGACGAUGUUAACAAAAGUUGUUUGUCUUGAUGAGGGCUACAACUUUGCUUAAUAUCCUUUUAACAAAUGAUGCG